rnacentral:tRNA from 1 species
GACGUGGCCGAGUGGUCUAAGGCGGUUGCUUGCUAAGCAACUGUGGGUUUACCCACCGCGAGUUCGAAUCUCGCCGU